GAGAAAAUGGUUUCGCCUGCUGUUUGGAUAUUAUUUCUGCUAGAGUUUCUGUUGUUUUCAAGUUCAGGCGUCUUCUCCAAACCUACAAAGAAUGGCAAAUUACAUCCUGUUUGGGGACACCAACCAAUUCUUCCUGCACCGGUCCAUGGUUGGUCACAAGAGCAGGUCACUAUUGUUCCUAAAUGGGGAGAUGACAUGUUUGGACAAGGAUGUAAAUGUAGUUUUCAUCUGUCAUGUCACAAUGAUGCGACGUGUCAUCAUCACGGACCUGAUUACCGUUGUGUUUAUAUGUGUUGUGGAACAAGAUGUGUUUUGCAGGUUGACUAGACAAUGUUUAGGUACUGGUUACAACCUUACUAUAAUAAUAAGACAGAGAAAACCAAGAUGUCACAAGAAUUACGUAGAAAACAAAGGCUGAUAGUUUUCCAUGCUUUAAUCUAAUAAAUUAAAAAAAAGCUUUAGACAGACAUAUGUGUGAUUACAAAUUGUAAAUAGAUUUUUCAUCGUGAAAAUCCAGAUUUCCUAUGCUAUUCAGCUUAGGGAAGUUUCCAUAUUCUCAAUAUAUUCAAGUCAAAUUUAUGUAUUGUGCAUUGGUUGAUGCUAACUAAAUCAUUGAGUCAACAUGUGCGUGGUAUAUACAUUGUACCAUCUAACUGUUCGUUAAUCUGAUGAAGUUGUCUUUCCUUCACUGUUGGUAAAAUUGACAUUACAAUUAUAACAAUGACUGGAAGUUAAACAGACAAUCACAAUUAAGAUUUAUCAUUAUUUGUAAUGAGACAUAACAUGGGAAUAUGGAAAUUGACUAGCUUCUCCGGCUCCUAAUACCUCACUACACUCUUCAGAAAAUACCGAAUGAACAAAUUAACACAAUAUCACGUCAACACUAAAAGAACAUAUAUCAUACACUAAAUACGAGAGAAAAAAUUGCAAUUGAGAAGAAUAAUUGAAAUAAAAAUGUUGAUACAUAAUGUUAAAAGGAUAAAUCUCAAUACUAUUUAUCUGAUAUCAAUCAGCUUGAAAGUUGCAAGAAGUUCUUCAAUACUCCGACAAAGAAAAUUAACGCAUCACCAUGACCACAAAGACUAUAAACUAUAUUAUGUGAAUAAUUUCAUACCUAGGAAUUGCGUAAAAAUAACAGGUACUCAACGUUUGGAACAAUGAAUAUCUAUUAAAGAAAUGAAGUCUUUCACAUGUCUGUUAAAGGAGGUACAAUAUCCCCAAUAUGCCCCAUACUUCUAGCUUGAAUUUCAAAUUUUGAUUUAAUUAACACUAGUUACACUGAGGCGAUGUUGUCAAUACAAUACCAAGAUAGGAAAUAGAUCCAUUUCAAAUAUAACGCAUUAGUGUUUUUAUGACGUCAACAUUAGCAGAAAUACCAUCUUUCCCCAACAAUUUCGUAGAAAACACGGAUGGUGAAACAUUGGGUGUUAGGAACUGAAACUUAUAGCGCAUGUGUCGACAACAAGAUCUUGUAACAUUAUGUUAUAACAAGUAAAAUAUCUGACUUACAUGCAGGAUUUUAGUUUGUCGAAUCCUGCGCUCUAUGUUUCCUUGGCCUAAAUCAAAAAGUGGGAGAAAAUGUCAAGGGCAACCAAACACCAUUAGUCUUUUCUUGAAUAAUAAAACACCAUGUCUAAAUAGAAACUUUCUUUGUUUUGCCUAUUUUGUGCGUAAAUGGCAAUGAUUUAGAAUUCAAAGAAAUCGUCAAAAUUCGUUUUAUUUCACUUUCUUAAUGCACCAAUAUUUCAUCUUGAAAUAUCUCACUUAAUAUAGGGUCAGACUACUUCACAUACUGCUUUUCACGAGCAUUUAUUUUGAUUUUUUUCCUGUUAUACAUACAAUUAUAGUCCGCACAUUUCUUAAUUAUUUGUGUUAAUAAUGCA